ACGGAUAACAUACCGAAAGGUAUGCUAAUACGGGAUAAUAUAUUUGAGAGGCAUCUCUUAAAUAUCAAAGGUGAGCCAGUACAGGAUGGACCCGCGUCUGAUUAGCUAGUUGGUAAGGUAACGGCUUACCAAGGCGACGAUCAGUAGCCGACCUGAGAGGGUGAUCGGCCACAUUGGAACUGAGACACGGUCCAAACUCCUACGGGAGGCAGCAGUGGGGAAUAUUGCACAAUGGGCGAAAGCCUGAUGCAGCAACGCCGCGUGAGUGAUGAAGGCCUUCGGGUCGUAAAACUCUGUCCUCAAGGAAGAUAAUGACGGUACUUGAGGAGGAAGCCCCGGCUAACUACGUGCCAGCAGCCGCGGUAAUACGUAGGGGGCUAGCGUUAUCCGGAUUUACUGGGCGUAAAGGGUGCGUAGGCGGUCUUUCAAGUCAGGAGUGAAAGGCUACGGCUCAACCGUAGUAAGCUCUUGAAACUGGGAGACUUGAGUGCAGGAGAGGAGAGUGGAAUUCCUAGUGUAGCGGUGAAAUGCGUAGAUAUUAGGAGGAACACCAGUUGCGAAGGCGGCUCUCUGGACUGUAACUGACGCUGAGGCACGAAAGCGUGGGGAGCAAACAGGAUUAGAUACCCUGGUAGUCCACGCUGUAAACGAUGAGUACUAGGUGUCGGGGGUUACCCCCCUCGGUGCCGCAG
rnacentral:rRNA from 1 species